rnacentral:rRNA from 1 species
UACGUAGGGGGCAAGCGUUGUCCGGAAUCAUUGGGCGUAAAGCGCGUGUAGGCGGCUUGGUAAGUCUGCUCUGAAAGCCCGGGGCUCAACCCCGGGAGGCGGGUGGAUACUGUCAAGCUCGAGUCCGGAAGAGGAGUGUGGAAUUCCUGGUGUAGAGGUGAAAUUCGUAGAUAUCAGGAGGAACACCAGUGGCGAAGGCGGCACUCUGGGCCGGUACUGACGCUGAGGAGCGAAAGCGUGGGGAGCGAACAGG